AAGGGACCUGGGAGAGCCAGUUCUCAGCACAGAAUGCUCCUGGAAGCAGCUGAUUCUCCUGGGCAGGAUCUAUUGUUGGCCAGGGGAGCAGCAUUUUGCAGAAAGCUGCUCCAGACCCUCAUUCCCAAGUCUUGUCCUCACAAUCUGGCAGGGGAGGAGGUAACUCUCUCCCAGGAGUUUGCAAUCACCUUGUCUGUGUGCUUUUCCAAAGACUCAAAGGACCAGCUCUGUUCAGAUGUUUCCUCUCUCCAGGGCAGUGUAAGAAAAAGGAGAAGUGGAAUUGAGGUUUUCACCUGGUAAAAAAAAAAACAAAGAGGAAGGAAAGCACGUGGCUU